rnacentral:tRNA from 1 species
CCGACCUUAGCUCAGUUGGAAGAGCGCGAGACUGUAAUGGUUAAAAUCAUCUUGAGGUCGCCUGUUCGAGCCAGGCAGGUCGGA